rnacentral:lncRNA from 1 species
GGGUGUUUAUAUUAAAAACUCAACCUUGUUAGUCAGCUCAAGAAAAAACAGUGUAAGGCUGCAGCUUCUUUGCCUUGGUAGGUUUUUUAUUGCUCUCUCUUUUAUUUUUUUUCUUUUCAGCAGCAUAGACUCACUCAAUAGUGGUAUCAUUUUCUUGAGCUGGAUGAAUAAAAUCGUCUUCCUGAUUCUUUUCAGCCAAUUGGGGGUGAGGGUGUACCAUAAGAUAAUUGGCAUGAUCUUCCUAUGGCUGACUAUAGGUACAAAGCUACAAUCUACCAGCUAAUGGAGUGGAUUGAGGAGCUAAAGGAACAGAUGUGGUUUCUUUGCCUUAGGACUGUUGUGCUGCUAAAAGCUUAUUUAUGAGCCAUUGCUACAACACAAUAUGUACUCUUACCUAAAAGAAAGAAAUGCACAAUGUUGUUUAUGAACCAUUCUUGUUUUUUGUUGAAUUAUACUUUGUGAAAAUUUUCUUGUUCCAAGCUGGUUAUAUCACUUCUGUCAUCA